GCUGGAGUUGAAUAGGUCUGCUCUUUGAGUGUGUACCUUGUUUCGACUUCGCAUCCUCUUAGAAUGUUAUUAAAGUACUUUAUUGUGCUUUAUAUAAUAUCUAAGAUCUUUACUUUGAGAAAAUUAGAGUGUUUCAAGCAGGCAUAUUGCCUUGAAUACUUUAGCAUGGAAUAAUAAAAUAGGAUUUUGGUUCUAUUUUAUUGGUUUAUAGAACUAAAGUA
rnacentral:rRNA from 1 species